UACGAAGGGGGCUAGCGUUGCUCGGAAUCACUGGGCGUAAAGGGUGCGUAGGCGGGUCUUUAAGUCAGGGGUGAAAUCCUGGAGCUCAACUCCAGAACUGCCUUUGAUACUGAAGAUCUUGAGUUCGGGAGAGGUGAGUGGAACUGCGAGUGUAGAGGUGAAAUUCGUAGAUAUUCGCAAGAACACCAGUGGCGAAGGCGGCUCACUGGCCCGAUACUGACGCUGAGGCACGAAAGCGUAGGGAGCAAACAGG
rnacentral:rRNA from 1 species